UACGGGGGGGGGCAAGCGUUGUUCGGAAUUACUGGGCGUAAAGGGCUCGUAGGUGGCCAACUAAGUCAGACGUGAAAUCCCUCAGCUUAACUGGGGAACUGCGUCUGAUACUGGAUGGCUUGAGUUUGGGAGAGGGAUGCGGAAUUCCAGGUGUAGCGGUGAAAUGCGUAGAUAUCUGGAGGAACACCGGUGGCGAAGGCGGCAUCCUGGACCAAUACUGACACUGAGGAGCGAAAGCCAGGGGAGCAACCGGG
rnacentral:rRNA from 1 species